GAUGAACGCUAGCGGCAGGCCUAAUACAUGCAAGUCGAGCGGGGUGAUGGUGCUUGCACUAUCACUUAGCGGCGGACGGGUGAGUAAUGCUUAGGAAUCUGCCUAUUAGUGGGGGACAACAUCUCGAAAGGGAUGCUAAUACCGCAUACGUCCUACGGGAGAAAGCAGGGGAUCACUUGUGACCUUGCGCUAAUAGAUGAGCCUAAGUCGGAUUAGCUAGUUGGUGGGGUAAAGGCCUACCAAGGCGACGAUCUGUAGCGGGUCUGAGAGGAUGAUCCGCCACACUGGGACUGAGACACGGCCCAGACUCCUACGGGAGGCAGCAGUGGGGAAUAUUGGACAAUGGGGGGAACCCUGAUCUAGCCAUGCCGCGUGUGUGAAGAAGGCCUUAUGGUUGUAAAGCACUUUAAGCGAGGAGGAGGCUCUUUUGGUUAAUACCCAAGAUGAGUGGACGUUACUCGCAGAAUAAGCACCGGCUAACUCUGUGCCAGCAGCCGCCGUAA
rnacentral:rRNA from 1 species